CAGUCGCCACGGUAAUACGGAGGGGGCUAGCGUUGUUCGGAAUUACUGGGCGUAAAGCGCACGUAGGCGGCUUGGUAAGUUAGAGGUGAAAGCCUGGAGCUCAACUCCAGAAUUGCCUUUAAGACUGCCGAGCUAGCAGGUGAGAGAGGUAAGUGGAAUUCCGAGUGUAGAGGUGAAAUUCGUAGAUAUUCGGAGGAACACCAGAGGCGAAGGCGGCUCACUGGUCCAUUACUGACGCUGAGGUGCGAAAGCGUGGGGAGCAAACAGGAUUAGAGACCCCUGUAGUCCCUGUCUCUUAUAC
rnacentral:rRNA from 1 species